rnacentral:misc_RNA from 1 species
AAGUCGUAACAAGGUCUCCGUUGGUGAACCAGCGGAGGGAUCAUUACUGGUGGUCUUUUUACGACCCCGAUACCUGUGAACCUAUUUCACACUUUUUUUUUUUUGCUUUGGCGGAAUUGCCCCGCGAGGGGAGCGCGCCUUUCCGCCAGAGCGCCGUUUUACAACGUCAUCACGUAUCUUCUGAGUUUCAAGUCUCUGAAACGAGAGUUACAACUUUCAACGAUGGAUCUCUCGGCUCCG